GCUGUAAUAAGAUCGCGAUUACUGUUCUGGACACCUUUCUCUCGUUUGAAGCAUACAUUUAGUGUUUGUUCUCGUUUAGGGAGCUUCAAUAACGUAGUUUUUUUUUUUCUAUGAAUUCUAAUAAACACAGUAGUGCUGUUAGCAAAUGUCAUUUUGCCACACGCGUGACGAAUAAAAAAAAAAACAUUUUUAUUUAAUGCAUAGUACUAAACAUGGUGUGGCUAACCCUACUUAAAUGAACUUUAAUAAUUAUGUUUGCACUUGAGAUUCUUUCGUGGUAUCAAUAGGACGGAAAUAAUCUGUUCUCAAAAUAAUGUCGACAUAACAUAAUAUGUGGAAAAAAAACAUUACAAGCUUAUACAGCUUUUUCCACUCUUGCCAGGCGCCUGGUUGUAGAACCGGAAAUCCACUUCGCAUGUUCAUUUUAUUUCUACAUCAUUUGUGAGUGUGUCAAAGAAGAAAACCAAUAGUCGAAUUUGAAAGAGAACUUGAUAAACAGGUAAUAAUCAAACAAUCAAAAAUAAAUGUCAGGUUCGUAUUAAUUUGAAUGGUGUGUGAUCAGAUCACAGAUAGAUACAUUAUUUUUGUUUUUUUUUUGACACUUUGACACUUACUUAGUGGUAGGACCCCCCUCGACCGGGUAUCCAUGCGCAAAUGGAUUCCACAGCGUUAAAAAAAAAAAACAAAAAAAAGGGCGUAUUUUGCGAACAUAUAGAAUUUAAUAUUAAACAUAAACCCUUCUGUUUCGUACUGAAACAGAUUUUUCGUGUUUCUAUAUUUUUUAUUAAUAUCGAGUAUCAGGCAAUACAUCUUCAAGACAACACAAAUCUUAAACUAGGUGCAGUAAGGUUCGAUCUUGCCUGUAGACGGCCGACUAGCCAACCCGAAGCUUGCUGAGCAACCCCUCCAAGCCUACGGGCAGAGGUCGCCGUCGUAUAGUAACUUAGUACACGCGUUCCGCGACAGACAUUCUUUUAUUACAAACAACAAAAAUUACCCAACGCAAGUCACGCGUAACCAUUAGAACCAGCGACAAUUGUUCAUCGUGUACCAGUCAAGGGACAGACGGUCCCACCUCCGGAAACGACGCUGAGCCCAGGGAGCGCGAGGCAGUGGAAGGAAGGUGAACCGGUAAGUCUUCAGACUUAUUUCGUUCCUUACUGUACAUAUUUUUUGGUCCAUUCGAACCGAAUUGCUUAGCGUGACCUUGUGUUGUCUUGAGUUAGUAUUCAUUUUUAAUUUGUAAUAAAAUAAAAUUCACGAUAACCGCCAUUAACUCGCGCUGCUCCGUAGCCAUCAUGGCGGAUAUCGAACAAGAUUUGUUUGAACGCGAAAUAAUUCUUGACGAUAUCAAACGUACACUACAAGUUGCUCAAAUUAAUGAACAGCAAUUUAGAUCUCGUGUUGUAGACCUAACUUCUCAACACAGAAAGUUCUCAAAAUUACAAUCGAAAAUUGAAAAGGUUCUUAUAAAAUCAAAAUGUUUCGAUAAAGAUGAACAGCUUAAAAUUCGUGGUGAUUUUAAUGAUUGCUACUACGCCAUAAUUGCUCAUAUGAAUAGUUUGAAAAAAUCGGAUGAAGAGAGUAGACGAAUGAGUCGACCUUCAAUUUUAAAUUCUUCGUUUAACGCUCAUAGCGGUGGUUGCGCAGCCAAACUACCCACUUUGCCUAUGCCGUGUUUCAACGGGGAACCUACAGAGUGGCCCCCGUUUUAUGAUUUAUUUCGUUCGUUAGUGCACGACAGUGAUGCCUUCACCAACACGGAGAAAUUCCGUUACUUACUUUUAACUUUAAAAAAUGAGCCGUAUAAUUUAAUAAAGUCACUACCGAUAACUGAGGACAAUUACUUUGUGGCUUUGAACAUUUUAAUUUCACGGUAUGAUAAUAAACGGGUGAUCGCAGUGAAACAUAUCGACAAAAUACUCGAUAUCGAACCUUGUUCCGAAAGAAACAUUCUUACUUUGCGUAAUUUACUGAACGUGUAUCAAGAAAAUAUAAAAGCGUUGGAAGUUAUGCCAUUGCCCACGAAACAAUGGAGUUUUUUAUUAUUGAACAUCCUACUGCGUAAAAUACCACCCUCAAUACGUAAGAGGUUCGAGUUAUCUCUAAUAAAACCAUGCGAUAUUCCAGACAUUGACACGUUAAUAAACUUCUUAGAACGUGAGUUAUCUGCAUGCCAGUUUUCAAACUCAAAUUCAGUUAGUUUAAAUACAAAUGAUAAAAUGGUCGCACAUGGGGGUAGUUCUCGAACAUUACCGCAAAAUGCAUCGCGUGUUGUUUCUAAGUCAAGCGAAGCCACCUUAGGUACGCGACGUUCAUUUGCCGCUAGCGUCAUUCAUGACGUUCCCUUAAGAAAUAAAAACACGAAGAACAAUAUAUGUUUAUGUUGUGAAGCUCAGCAUACGUUAAAUAAAUGCAGCAAAUUUCUAAAUUUAUCUCCGCGUGAUAGAUAUUCUUUCAUUCAAAAUAAAAACGUUUGUUUUAAUUGUUUAAAUGUCGGUCAUGAUGUGAAACAAUGCAAGUCCAAUUUUGUGUGUCGCUCGUGUCAAAAAAGACAUCAUACUUUACUUCAUUUUGAUUCUCAUCGUUUGUCGGUUACAGUAAAUAGUGGUAUGACAGAAAGUAGUUCUGCAUCUCUCUCGCGCAACGAGUCAUCUCAAUCUGACGUAGCCGCUCAACACGUCAUGACCGCGGUGAAUCACACACAGUCUACUGCAUCGUGUGUUCGGGGUACAGUUUUGUUAGCCACAGCGCUCAUCCAUGUAUAUGUGACUCCGCGUAUUAAACACAUCGUUCGAUGUAUUGUAGAUAGUGGUAGUCAGGCGACAUUUAUCACAGAGGCUUGCGCGCAGCGUUUAAAUUUAGCGCGUAAAUAUACUAACGUUCCGGUGUUCGGUGUGGGUGAUAGUAAGCCUGUAUACCCGAAUGGCGUCGUAACGUUUUGCGUUACCCCUCGUAAUGGGGAUCAGCCUUCGAUUCCGGUUGAAGCAUUUAUUUUACCAAAGAUUGUUUUACAAAAUAUGCCAAGCGUUUCUUUACCUUUCACGGAAUGGCCUCAUAUACAGAAUAUUACAUUAGCUGAUCCCAAUUUUCAUACUCCACAACCAGUGGAAAUGCUUUUAGGUGCGGACAUACUGUCCCAAAUAUUAUUAGGCAAUGUGAUUACGGGACCACCUGGUUCGCCGAUAGCUAUAAAUAGCAUCUUCGGUUAUCUAUUGUUAGGUAGUCUUUCUUUCAAUCACAAGUCUUCCCCUGUUACUACAGGAAUACAAGUUUAUCAUUCAAGUUUUAGCUCAUCCUACGAUGACAUGGAACUAACAAAAUUUUGGGAAUUGGAGUCGUUGCCUGAAAGGAAAGAGUUCACUCCAGAUGAAACUUUGUGUGAAUCGUUAUUUGUUAGCUCACAUACUCGUGACAAAAGCGGACGAUACAUAGUCCCCCUUCCGCUUAGACCGGAUUCCCCGACCUUAGGUGAAUCCCGGAGUAUAGCUUUAGCUAGAUUUAAUAAAUUAGAAUAUCGUUUAGAACGUAAUCAUUUGUUAAAAAUGGACUAUCACACGUGUUUAAAAGAAUACGAUGAUCUCGAGCACAUGGAGUUAGUUCACACUCCGUCCCUGGUCCCGGACAAUUCGUAUUACAUACCGCACCACUGCGUGGUCAAAGAAUCGAGUACUACUACGCGAACGCGCGUUGUUUUUGAUGCAGGUUGCAAAACUUCCAAUGGAAGGUCUUUGAAUGACAUCUUGUUAGUCGGUCCUAAAUUGCAUCAAGACAUAGUCGAUGUUUUACUAAAAUUUAGAUUAAAUUCUAUUGCUUUCACGGCAGAUAUAAAACAAAUGUACCGAAACAUUUUAAUACGCGAGUCGGAUCGCGAUUUUCAACGAAUCCUAUGGCGGUCAUCAUUAAAUGAACCCGUACGCGACUAUCGACUCCGAACAGUUACUUUCGGCGUUAGUUCUUCACCGUAUUUAGCAUUACGCACGAUAAGACAACUAGCUGUCGAUGAGCAGACGCGGUUCCCGUUAGCCUCCGAGGUCCUGAGGGACCAAGUGUUUGUUGAUGACGUAGUCACGGGAGAAAGUGACGAAUCACGAGCUUUAGUUUUACAACAACAAUUAAUUGGUAUUUGUCAAUCAGCGGGAUUCGAACUGCGAAAGUGGUGCAGCAACUCGCCCGCGAUACUCGCGGCAGUUCAGACGCCAAGUCUUCACGGUGAGCGGCAGGACAACAUAUCCUUCGCUUCCAUGGAAAAUGAUAUGCAAAUAAAAGUCCUUGGUCUGCAGUGGAACCCAAAGCUUGACGUCUUUUCAUUUUCUGUUCAAGUAGGAACCGAUAAAAUAACAAAACGUGCGAUUCUCUCUCAAAUAGCGAAAAUUUAUGAUCCCAUGGGUUGGCUCGCUCCUGUCACUUUAUAUGCCAAACAUUUAAUACAAUUAUUAUGGUUAUCAAAAGUUGGCUGGGACGACCCACUGCCCGUGAAUAUAGCAAACGCAUGGUCGACCUUUAUCAAUGAGUUACCACUCUUAUCGCAAUUAGAAAUUCCACGUUAUGUUUUGCCAAAUACAUAUGCUGUCCAAAUUCAUGGGUUUUCGGACGCAUCCGAGAAAGCAUAUGCUGCUAGCAUUUACCUACGUCUUACGGACUUACAACAUAAUGUUAGAUGCUUUCUUUUAAUUGCAAAAACUCGCGUGGCGCCUAUCAAACCGGUUUUGACGAUACCACGCUUAGAGUUAUGUGCGGCGGUAUUAUUGUCUCAGCUGUGUGAGAGGGUGCUAUGUAUUUAUAAAGAUCGUGUGAACUGCGAAGAUAUAUACGCAUGGUCAGAUUCUUCUAUUGUGUUAGCGUGGCUUCGAUCACCACCUCACGAAUGGAAAACCUUCGUUUCUAAUCGAACGAGCGAGAUACUCUCACGACUUCCAGCAAGGUGCUGGCGUCACGUUCCAUCUGAGGAUAACCCAGCAGAUGCUCCAUCUCGUGGGAUGCUUCCUCAAACAUUUCUAAAUAAUGAAAUGUGGUUUAAUGGCCCACCGUGGCUUGCCCGAGAGCCGUCUUACUGGCCCACGAACAAAAACAUUCCUAAUACUACGGAGGAAAGACGUAAUUUAACAGUAAUGCUGAAUUCAGUAAUAACACAACCGGAGGACGUGGAAUACAUAUCACGCUUUUCCACGUUAGGUAAACUCGUUAGAAUUACAGCUCGAAUAUUUCGUUUUUACAAUAAUUGUAAGCGAAUAAAAAAAUCCUAUCCUGAUUUUAUUACGGUGUCCGAGUAUGAGUUUUCUUUAAUGAAAUUAAUUCACAGAGUUCAAUUAUUUUGUUUUUAUGAGGACAUAAAAAAUAUUUCACAGGGAAAAUGUCCUUCAAAUAAACUCAGACGUUUAAAUCCCUUUCUUGACAAAGACAAUAAUUUACGAGUAGGAGGACGACUUCACAAGUCGAUUUUGAAUUUUGAUUCUAAGCACCAGUUGAUUCUACCUAAAAAACAUCAUUUAACUUUUUUAAUAAUCGAUAACGCUCAUAUCACAAAUUUGCAUGCCGGACCUCAGUCUGUUCAACAUAUUUUAUUUCAAAGAUUCUGGAUCUUAUCCAGUCGCAAUAAAUGGUUUCACAAACGCGGACCACUCAUACGUGAAGGCACCAUUGUCGUGGUACGCGACGAUAAUCUUCCUCCCUUACACUGGAGACUGGCUCGCGUACACGCUCUUCAUCCCGGGUCCGACAAUGUUACUCGCGUAGUAACUGUUCAAAUCGGUAAUACCUUCGUUAAACGUGCAGUAGUCAAACUUUGUCCACUUCCAAUAAAUUAACUUUUUUUUUAUUAUUAUGUCACUCAUUGUUUUUUCUUUUAUUUUUAUUAGUACUUUUAAUUUUCACACAUACGUGGUUGAGUUACUGAGUUUUUAAAUUCCUUCAUAAGUAGUGUUAAAACAAUUGCAUUAUUUUAAGGUGAGCGGCAUGUUUCGUACUGAAACAGAUUUUUCGUGUUUCUAUAUUUUUUAUUAAUAUCGAGUAUCAGGCAAUACAUCUUCAAGACAACACAAAUCUUAAACUAGGUGCAGUAAGGUUCGAUCUUGCCUGUAGACGGCCGACUAGCCAACCCGAAGCUUGCUGAGCAACCCCUCCAAGCCUACGGGCAGAGGUCGCCGUCGUAUAGUAACUUAGUACACGCGUUCCGCGACAGACAUUCUUUUAUUACAAACAACAAAAAUUACCCAACGCAAGUCACGCGUAACCAUUAGAACCAGCGACAAUUGUUCAUCGUGUACCAGUCAAGGGACAGACGGUCCCACCUCCGGAAACGACGCUGAGCCCAGGGAGCGCGAGGCAGUGGAAGGAAGGUGAACCGGGAGACGAGCUUGCUGAUCCACUCGAUAAUCGACACUCGACAGUGACCAACGUUCCUUUUUUGAACCAGACUUGAUCAAGCUACUUACUCCGUAAGUCUCUUUUCACUUCUUGGUACAAGAAAGAUUAAAAAGGUAAAUUUAGUGUGAGUCAAACUAAUUAUACCAACCAAUCAGUUCAAUUUGAAAAUAGUUUUUCGAAAAGUAGUGAAGUAUGAUAAAGAAAGUAUUUGUAUAUUUAUUGAAAAUCAUUCAUUUAAAUUAAUAGAUUUUAAUUAAAACACUUCUGCAUUACUUAGGAGGUGUACUUUAAAAGAAGUAGCAAUUAUAGUACUUUCUUUUAACUAUAAAGUUUUGCUACUGUGACGCCAUUUAAAAGUGGCUUGUUCUAAAGGACACUGUCGAUUUAGACAAACUCUUGACCUACUUUAGCUUUUAGCUUUCGAUUUCAUAUUUUGGAUGAUAGCAUAUUAUUUAAUGUGAUGCGCAUGAACUUCAGUAUCCAGCCAACAUCAUAUUGACUAUGACGGAUGGAUGGAUUGUUGUAGCCCUGAAGCCUUUCAACUUUCACCAAAAUGGGAGUAACUGCCCAAAAGCCUCCGAAGGAUGCUUCUCAGCUCAAGAACAGGUAUUUUACUAGUGUAUUUAUUAACGGAUCAGAAUUGAGAUUCACUCAGUAUCACAUCACAUUUAAUGAAGGACAUAAUAUUAUAGCUUUCAAAAAAUACCGUGGACGAAAGUUUGUUCUGAAGCUGGAUGUAACUAAUUUAUGUGUAUUAUCUAUAGCUGGAUGGUAAAUGGUUGGUAAAUAUGUAAGGAAACACACCGGGUAUAAAUGUAAUGAUUCUAGGUAGUUUGGGUAAACUCUGCUUCAGUGGUAGGUGAUACGAUGGUAAAAAAAGACCAUCUCAAACUAUCCUUUAGAGCACAUCCCUACUGCUGCAGAGACAGCAAUGUGCCAUCACGGUUACAGCCGUUCGAGCUUACUGCGUCUUAAAUAACCUUAGGUGACAUGCGUGUGCUGCAUGCGUGUCAUCAUUAUGUGACAUGCGUGCUGACGAAGAAGCUACCCUGGAUAUUGGAGGUGGAGGUCCUCGCUGUUGAUUACUAUGCAACUUUGAAAUGUGGGAGCGUAUGCAUAUAUAUGUCUGCCCCUGCAUGCUGCAUGAGCAGAUGUAGUGUCUUUGUCAUCCGAAAUAAGUAAGCACACAGUAAGUAAUAAAUAAGUAAGAUCACAACAUCUGCAAAUACAUCAUGUUCCGGAAGCAGGCGGCGGAGCUUGAGAGAGAGCGCCUUCAACUACGCACUAACUCAACCCGUCGUUGCGAGUCGAAGGUUUGGAAGGGGAUCUCACCCGAAGACUGGCCCCUUCCGUUGGUCGGCUUGGGAACUGCUGAGGGACACUCAAGAAGACGACGUUUAAGUUGCUUUAUCAGAUGUCUUGCGAAAGAUCAACCGGUUGCUAGAUGACUCCACUCGCAACACAUGCUUGUCAUUGACGUCACUGUCAAAUAUGAUUUGUCAGAUCGAGUAUCAAUGUCAAUGCAGCCUAAACUUCAGUGCUCUAAAAUUUGUACGUAAACAAUAGACUGUGAAUUUAUCAUGGUUUUUAUUACUAUUAACUUAUCAAGUUUAUUACUUUCAACAGGAAUACAACAAACAACGCGCUUUUGUUAUUACGUAGACCAGUAAAUUUUAAACGUAUUAAUGAUUAUAUUUAUUGGAAUCAUAGUCUUAAUGAAACGUAGCCUAAAACCGCCAAUUUUGAUUUGUUUUUUUUGAUACCUACCUUUGUGUUUAUUUCUCAAGUUCAGUGAAAAUCAUGUUACUCAGCCAGUGCAUUGACUUAAUAAUCAUAUUGUUAUUUUUAUCGUUUGUGUCCGUCUCUUCAAUUGGUAUGUAGUGUGAAUUUAUUUGCUUUCUUACUUGGAGUUAGGAUUCGUUAUUUAAAUCGUUAGUAAUCGAAACGGAAGGAAAUCAAUAAUAAAUUACAUUUUCCACGGCCACUUGGCUGAAAUUGUUCAUAUAAUGACUGCAGCUUUGAAUCGAAAUUCUUAUGAUUUUCCGUUAAUUGUAAAAGAAACUUAUAGAUUAUUCAGAUAACGAAGUAUUUUAAAUUGCGAUUAUACUUAAGUACUAUAAUACAAAUUAUUUAUAUAAAAAUUUUGUAAAGGACAAUAUUUUGAUUCAAAUAGUGUAUGGCAAAUGAUAAGUCCAAAUAUAAGAAAGGUGUUAUGAUGAAUGAUUUCUAAUGCUCAUAGACAUGACGAACAGCUGACUUGCCUCUUGCUCUUUAGGACUCUCGCUCAUAUGGUGAGGGGGUAAUGUCUAUCUCAAUGACAUCACUCUGAAAUCUGUAGUAAAAACAACCAACUAAAGUCUCUCAGUAAACAUAGAAGGUUCCAAAUCUUUUUUAUUCCAUAUUGAAUAUGUAUUUAAGGAAAAAA